UACGUAGGGUCCGAGCGUUAAUCGGAAUUACUGGGCGUAAAGCGUGCGCAGGCGGUCUUGUAAGCCAGAUGUGAAAGCCCCGGGCUCAACCUGGGAACUGCAUUUGGGACUGCAAGGCUGGAGUACGGCAGAGGGAGGUGGAAUUCCACGUGUAGCAGUGAAAUGCGUAGAGAUGUGGAGGAACACCGAUGGCGAAGGCAGCCUCCUGGGCUAGUACUGACGCUCAUGCACGAAAGCGUGGGGAGCAAACAGG
rnacentral:rRNA from 1 species